UGAACGCUAGCGGCAGGCCUAAUACAUGCAAGUCGGACGGGAUUCAGGGAGUAGCUUGCUACAAACUGAUGAGAGUGGCGCACGGGUGCGUAACGCGUGAGCAACCUACCCAUAUCAGGGGGAUAGCCUCUCGAAAGAGAGAUUAACACCGCAUAACAUCAUUUACCGGCAUCGGUUUUUGAUCAAAUAUUUAUAGGAUAUGGAUGGGCUCGCGUGACAUUAGCUAGUUGGAGAGGUAACGGCUCACCAAGGCUACGAUGUCUAGGGGCUCUGAGAGGAGAAUCCCCCACACUGGUACUGAGACACGGACCAGACUCCUACGGGAGGCAGCAGUAAGGAAUAUUGGUCAAUGGAGGCAACUCUGAACCAGCCAUGCCGCGUGCAGGAUGACUGCCCUAUGGGUUGUAAACUGCUUUUGUCAGGGAAUAAACCUUUCUACGUGUAGAAAGCUGAAUGUACCUGAAGAUAAGGAUCG
rnacentral:rRNA from 1 species